rnacentral:lncRNA from 10 species
UGAGAUCGCACCACUGCACUUCAGCCUGGGCAACAGAGCAAGACUCCAUCUCAAAAAAAAAAAAAAAGUUACAAGAGGGCUGAGAUUACAUCUUCUUAAUUUACUCACAAUUCUUUGUAUACAAUAGCUGGUCAGCUUGCUAAUGUUACAUGUUUUAACUGCUACUGACAUUUAUUCAUUAUUUAAAUUAAGAAGGUUCUGCAAACUAUGACCCAACAGCCAAAUCAGGCCCUCUACCUGUUCUUGUAAAUAAAGUUUGAUUGGAACACAGCCACAUUUGUUCCUUUACAUAUGGUCUACGGCUGCUUCUAGCAUGCAGUGGCGGAGUUAACUCUAACUAGUUGUGACACAGACCAUAUGGUCCACAAAGCCUAAAUUAUUUUCUAUCUAGCAUUUUCCAAAAAUGUUUGCAGACCCCUGAUUUGCAAUGUGCUAGGCAUUGUGCAGGCUUGUCAUGGAUCAUCCCUUUCAACUUUCACAACAGUAUGUACUACUACAUGGUAUGUACUGUUGUUAUCCCCAUUUUAUGGAUGAGGAAACUGGGCCACAAGGAGGAUUUGCAAGGGAUUAGGAGAGCAGGAAGCAGAACCCAGUUAGGCACGACUCCAGAGUCCAGGAAUUCUUGAGUCUGACUGGAGAUGGGUGGUGCGGUGCACCUCUGCUUCUCAAACUCAUCACAAGCAGCAUCUCCAGUCCUCUGGUCGGGGAGGGGUAGCUGGGAAUGAAGGCCAGAAGGUACUAUCUCCGGAAGGACAGGGAGAGGCAAGGGGCCUGUCUGCCUCCCAGGGCUGCAUGCUGACACCUGCCAUGCCAAGACAGAAAGCAGAGCUGCAGGCUACAGCUAUCAACCUCCCUCCCACACGCGCGCGCGUCCACGGAGCUUAGUUUGGCACCAAGGUGUGAGCUCUUAGGCAACGUGGGAGCCCAGCAAGUCACACUCAUGGUCAUCCUGGCUCUAUAAACACAAGAAAAGGAUGCUUGCUUGGUGGCCUCUUGUGCUAGGACCCUCUGCGUUGGGCUUGGGCGGCAGUCUCCCUUAGAGAAACCAUUUGCUCCUCCAAAUCUGGGAUGGAAAACUUUUACCUCCUACCAAGAUUGGUGCCCCUUAGUCUGCAGAGGCUCUGAUGGAAUGGGGGAGAAUUUUCAACUUAAGUCCUUAAAAAAAGGGAACAAAGAGGCUAGCAAACAAAUAGCUGUAAUAUGAGCAGACUUCUUUCAUUUGAAUUUUUUAAAAAAUAUCCCUCUGCUAAUGACUUGGUGAUUUUCACAGUACUAAAUGUGCUGACUUAAAAAAUCCGUGGGAGGUCAAUAAUUUUCCCUCUGCCUGUCACUGUGCUGAUUGUGGUCCCGAUGCACCUUAAUUACAACACCUACAGGUGGAGUAUUAUACAGUGUUUACAUUAAUCAGAAUAGAUUUACUGAGGGAAAUAAACCUGCUGGCUUCCUUAGAGUUGCACUCUCAUCAGGCAGCUACUGGGCUGGCCAGCCUGUGGGUUAGUGCCUGGGCUAGGAGCCCAGACCCCAGCCUCACAGCAGUAGGUAGGCUCAGAGCAUCUCUAUCCUAAACUGGUGUGCUGGUGCUUAGCUAAUGAAUCAACAGAAAGUUCUAUUAAUAGAAACUGCAUUUCAGAAUUUUGAGAUCAAAGGAGGAAAGUGUGUGUGUAUGUAUGUGUGUGUGUGUGUGUGUGGAGAGAGACAGAGGACAGAGGGAGAGAAGAUAAGAGAUAGAGAGAUUGUGCAAUUGUUAGAGAACUGACUUCAUUCUCUGUGGCCACGAAGAACGAGAGAAUCACACAUACCUUAGAGGCAUACAUUGCCUCCCACCCCAAGUCUUACAUUUAUAUGAAGAGGAAGAGUAGAAGAGAAACUCUGUUGGGAAUUAAAGAAAGGCUAAAGAAGAUACACACAGCUGUCCAGUUGGGAUGUGGGCAGAGGAGGGGUAGGUUUUGCUGUGUGUUUGUUGUUUUUCAAAUUCAUUUUUCUUUUGCAUUUUGAAUGAGGCUUUAUUGUUCUUUGGAUUUGAAGAGAGGCCAACAACCUCCACUGACCCAGGUGGCCAAUAUGGUCAGGACUCCCCAGCAGCGAGAAGCCCCGGGGGACGAAGGUGGAGGCACCAAGCCGUGUGGAUUUCAGAGCCAUCCGCGGCUGCCGGCUGUUGGGGCGGCCAGGAGUGGCCUGCCAGCAGAUGGCGCUGCGCCGCACGUUAUGGACCCUCGUGUGCCCGACCGGCUCAGGGAAGGAGACAGACGGCUCAAAGUUUCUAGUGCCAUUCCUGGACUGAAACAAAUGUUUGUGGAAUUAAGUAGUGAUUUCCUUUAGUGUGCGCCACUCUUACUGGCUGUGUUUUCAGGCCUAGAUGUUAACAUAUGCCACAUAUUACUUUUUUUUUUUUUUUUUUCCUGGUGAAGUCAGGGGUUUCCAAGCACUCAGCCUCAUCCUAAGUGUUCAUGUCAACUAGCAAAGGUCUGCAUUUUCUGAUAAAAUAACUUAUAAAACUUCCAUAUUAAGAGCUAAAAUGGUUUGGAAGACAAAGAAGUGCUGAGAAAUGUAAGUAAACAGAGCACCUAACAUUUUGUCUUUCUAAAUAAACAAACGGGGAGGGAGGUGUUCCUUUAUUAGGCUCAAAAAUUACUCAUGAGAGCGGCCAGGAGGAGAUUCAAGGCAUUCGGGAAAAAGUGUCUCUGGCUACUGGGGGGAAGGGGGUUGCAUUAUGUGAUUGCUGGAAACACUGAGGUGCAAUGAUCAUAAAUGUAGAAUCGUGGAGAAAAUUUAGGAUAUGCUCGGAACACCCAAGGCACAGCCAGAAGUCCCUGGGUUUUCAGAACCCAGUUAAACAACAAUGGGUUAAGGGUGAUAGGAAUUGCCAGUGCAAUUGCUUCACCAUGCCAAGUGGCUCCAUUAGUUAGGGUUCAGUAUGUAUUUAAUGUUGCCAUAAAAUCUGUCUUCUCAAAGUAAACAAGGCAAGUCUGUGAGCAUCUCCGACAAGAUGUAUGAAGCUUUGUUUGGGAUAAUGGAUUUGACAUGAGUAAAAACACUGGGGAUUAAAUGGACCCAGCACGGAUAAAUAUGACUAAUUGUCAUCUCCUCGUAUCAGCGUAAACAUCUCUAGCACCGCAUACUAGGGAGAGAUGGUGGAGCAAGGGGGUUUGGGGGCGAUUAGUCACUGCAGAAUUGAUUCACAACUGAUUGAUUAAGCAGGGAUGGAGGGGAACAUUGAGGCCUUUCCUUCCACAUGGAGAGUUAUGCGAGAAUUCCUGGUGGAGGUGGGCAACUCUCUUCCCUGCAGAUAUUCAAGGAUUCAGGCAGAUAGAAUCUCGUUCAUCAUCAACAUGUUGCCUGCAAGGAUCUUAUGGUUUCUCCAUCUCAUCCAGCCAGAAGCAAAUAAAAGCACAGGCAAGCCCACAGAGGAGGAUUUUAUGGGCCAAACCUGGGAGUGACUCAUCACAUCCCUCCCCAUAAUCCAUUGACUAGAAUGUAAUUAUUUGGCCAUACCUAACUUCAAGAGCAGCUGGGAAAUGUGAGCUUGCUGCGUGCCCAGGAAGAAUAAGGAAAAAGGACUUUGGUGGGCAACUAUCAGUUUCUCACUUCUCUUGGUGCUAAAGAGCUUUGUAGUAGGAAGAUUUGCCCAGACUAUUUGUUGCACAGCCAAUCCUCAGACCAUCUUGAAGCAUGUAGAAAAGGACUAAGGAUUGGAAAUUGAGUUAAAAGCCUUAAUGGUGAAGCAAGGAAUGAAAGAGGAAAAAUCAUAGCAACUUGGUGAACUUGAAAAUGUACCUAGGUCACACCCCUUCUUUACUUCAAGCAGAAACUAAACCCAAAUGGAAAAUAUUUUGACUGAGCUGCAGCUUGGCAUUUUUAUGCCACUAUUUACCUCUAGAAGAAGCAUGGAAAACUUCUCUAGCUUUUACAGUACACUUUCUAAAUACCAUUUCCCACUGGAGAAAUGGCUGAUUCUGGGUCAGGAGAAAAUGUACUAGGCAAAUGAGAAUAUCUUGUCAUUCCAGAUAACAAAAAAGACGUAAAAGACUGCAAUGCCAAAAGGACUCAGGAGCCAAAAGAACUGAGAAUAUGCCCAUGGGUCAAAAAUGGAACAAGUGCACCAUUAAAUUGAAAACAAGUGCAAUAGAUUAAAAUACAUCACAUGUUCAAAUCUUUGAGUUCAAAAUGAUACAAAAGCAACAUACAAACAAACAUAUAAACAGCAAUAACAACAACAGCCUCAAUGUUCAUCUUUGGACAUUGAUAGGAAGCAAAUUAUUUGGAAAAUAGUAAAAAAAAAAAUUAGAGUAUCUGUCCUGUAUUUCAUCUAUAAAAUAUUCAUUGAGGUAACCAAAUAGUUAAUAGUAAAGGAAAAUUUGUCUAUUUGUCUUCAUGGAAGUAUUUUAAUUUCUAGAAUAAAUGAAGAAGGAAUGAUAAAAUUAGAACAUUACCAUUUGGUGGUCCCUAAUGAGACAAUGGGUCCAGGCAAAAAAUCUUCAAUGGCUGUUGAGAUCACAAAAAGAAAGACCCCAGAUUUUAAGUGCCAGCUAUUAGAAAAAUACGAUUUUUCCUGAGAAGUAAGUUUGACAAAAAAAAAAAUUUAUAUUGAAUUCGAAUCAAGCCUCUAGAAAUAACAACCAAUCUACUAGAAUUACAGAGAUCAGAGAAACGUGUUCAAAGACACCGUGGGCAUAUAAACUACAAAAUCCAAAUUGUAGAAAACAUCAUAGGACAGACAAUAUGAUUUCUUCCACAAAUACACUGCAUGAUAAAAAAAGAGAGGAGUUUUAAGAGACUUAAAGAGCAAUCAAAUGCAAUAUUUGGAUGUUUCAUGGAUCCUCAUUUGAACAAAUGGUUAUUUAUUUUUAUGCUGUGUUUAUGAGAUAAUUGGGGAAAUGUGACCACUGACUGGAUAUUGGAUGAUAUUAAAAAUUAUUGUUAACUUUGAAUGCAAUAAUGGGAUGUAUGUGUGUGUUUAAUGAGUCCUUAUAUUUUACAGUUACAUGCUGAAUUAUUUAUGGAUGGAAUUACAUGUGCUUGGGAUUUGCUUCAAAAUAAUUGGGGAGUAGAAAAGAAUAAGAGUACUAUAUAGAUAAAAGAUUGGGCAUGAAUUUAAAAUGAAAGAAAAAUAAAAGAAAGGAAAAGAAAUAACAGAGAGGUUAAGAGGGUAGGCUCAGAGCCAAACUGCCUGGGAUCAAAUCUUCUUUCUGUCAUGACUAGCUGUGUGAUCCCAGAACAAGGAGUACAGAAAAUUAUC